rnacentral:rRNA from 1 species
CCUCCUACGGGGGGCAGCAGUGGGGGAUAUUGGACAAUGGGGGAAACCCUGAUCCAGCGAUGCCGCGUGAGGGAAGAAGGUUUUCGGAUUGUAAACCUCUGUGGAGGGGGACGAUAAUGACGGUACCCCUUUAGGAAGCCACGGCUAACUACGUGCCAGCAGCCGCGGUAAUACGUAGGUGGCGAGCGUUGUCCGGAAUUACUGAGGGUAAAGGGAGUGUAGGCGGGAAAGCAAGUCAGGGGUGAAAACUGAGGGCUUAACCCAUAGGCUGCUUUUGAAACGGGUUUUCUUGAG